AGAAUCUUGAUGAUGCUGCGU
rnacentral:miRNA from 1 species